CAAGAAGUCUGAUUAAAGCUGUACGGUCUUUCAAAUUUCUCAAAACUGACAAAAUUUAGUUUCUACCGAAAUCCAAGCAUUAAAUGUGGGAUGUAGGUUUAUUUU